GUCAUUAGUGUCUGUGUAUUUAGUCUCUGUGUUUCCCCUCACUCUUUGUCUGGUCAUUGUAUUCUGUCUUGUGAAUUCUGUUUUUCUGUACCCUUGUUCCAUGUUCCUGAUUCUUGCUCCUGAUCCUGCUCAUGCUUCUGCCCCGUUUUGGGCCCGGUACGUGACGGGUCCGUGCUUGGACCAGUGAGAGUCCGUGACUGGAAUGAGGUCCCCCGCCAUGACGUAGUGAACACGGGCCGAAUCGCAUGGAGACCAGUUGCAAUGGUUCAUCUAUCCAUCGGGGCAGGUUGAUGAUGGAAGCAUCAGUGGCGUCUUCUUCUUGUUCCAGUUGUUCCAUCUUUAUGUGGAGAUCGCGACCGAGGGAAACAGCCUCCUCCUGUUUUUAUUUCAAGUCUUCCUCCUCUGCUCUCGUCAGCUGGUUAUCUUCCAUUCCUGGGGUUUGUCCUCUCAGCCAGCCAUGACAUCAGCCUGUUACUACCUCCAGUUUGUCAGUGAAAAACAGAUCUGUUAAACUCAGUGAAGCUGGAACAAGUGUGGGGUAUCUUCUCAUUACUGUAGCUCAUACGGUACAAUCACACCUGCAACCAAUCAGAGGAUCAGAUGCCUCCACAGCUAUAGCUUGACCCCAGCCCAGGUGGAUCUCCAGGGAUCUCACUGGCUGUCACCUCCCAUCUCAUCACAACCUGGCUGGCCCAUAUGUUCCUGUGGCAGGUGUCCUCCUCUCUGUCACCUUUGUGCACCGCAACCCUACUCCGAACCUGGACACUCGAGUGUAUUCCAUACGGGACACACACUCCCAGCAGAGGAAGCGGCUAUUUUUAAAGGACUGGCUGUUUGUGAAAGGAAAAAAAAAGGGGGGGUGGUCAUAUGUUUUUGUUUAUUUAAGCACAUUCAGAAAGAUGUCACUGUGGAAUAUUUGUUGGCUUGGUGACCAGAAGAAAACACAUUUCACAUCAAUUAUUAACUAUAAGUAAACCCAUGUUUUAUUGAAAACUAAAUUAGAUGUACAAGAACACUAUGGAAGCUCACCUAAACAAUAUAGUGUAUCACAUACCUCCCAUCACCUCUGCAGAGAACUGUGAGGGAAAAUAACCGAUUGCUAAUUCACCGUGGUAGAAUCCAGUCAAAGUCUCCACACCAACUACAGUUUCCUUCUUCCCUUUUCUGUUUCUGUCAGAUGCGAGCUGUAUCUUCAUGCCUCCUUGGCAUCGCUCCUCUCGCCUCUGUUUUUUGUUCUCGCCUUUGGUUGAUGGAUUGAAAGGUUGGUGAAGCCUGAGCCAAAUGGAUUUCUGUUCUAGACUGAGAUGCCUUAUUGAGUGGAAUUUUCUACCUGCUGGGAAGCUGUCAAUAUGCCAAAACUUCGAAAGACUGCCUUUGAUUCGUUACUCUCCUCCAUUCAACCUGUUAGUGAAGAAAAGGUCACAUAUACGUGUGUGUGUGUGUG